rnacentral:tRNA from 1 species
GCCUCGGUGGUGAAAUUGGUAGACGCGCUGGACUCAAAAUCCAGUGAGGGCAACCUCAUGCCGGUUCGAUUCCGGCCCGAGGCA